AAAAAUUGGUCAAAAAGCUAGGGAAGACCAGUGAAAAACCAAAAUGUCAAAGAAACAAAACAAAAACCGUUUAAAAAGCCGAAAAUGCAUGCGGAAAAAUAAAAAAAAUAAAAAUUCGGAGGGAGCGCCAAGAGCACGACACAUGGCGUAUGGCUGAGAGCGCGCCAAGUGGCGCUGAUCGUUGCGAGGCUCUCGAAGGAGCGCUCGUUAAUUAGUUGCUCCCACGAACGAAAUCACUAAUUAAGGAACGAGUUGUUCGGUCUGGAGAUCUCCCAGGCCGAACGAGUCAGCGCCAUAUCGGGGUUUUUAAUUCGAACAAGACUCAAAUAUGUUAUUUCCUCUGGUCCAUAUUACUUGUCCUAGUCUCUCCCUAAUAAUAAAGCACGGAUUGGGUCUCCGGGUUCACCGUCGUGGUGUUUUUGCAAAAACAUCCCUAGCUUUUUCUUAAAUCAACCCGCAAUCCUUCUGUAAGUCAAUCCGAACUGGUUCAGGAAACAGAAAAGAGAGAAGAAAAAACACCGCACCCCCGCCCAUCCGCCGCGCGCCGCCACCACCGUCCCCUGUCGCCCACCGCCGCGCGCCGCCACCACCGUCCUAUGUCGCCCACCGCCGCAAGCUUGAGGCGUGCUCCUCCUCCUCCUCAACUGCCGCGCCGCUCCGGCCCCACAAACGCACCUUCUCGACCCCUACCCUCCGCGCCGCUCCCGCCUCCCCUUUCCUCCAUCCGCUUCCACCGCAGCCCCAACUCCACUUCCAUCGACGUUUCCGCCUUCGCCGCCGCGGGUCCCCUCCUUCCCCGCCUCCUCUCUCCCUCCCCUUCCACCUCCUUCUCAUCUCCUUCCCCCUCCCCGUCAGCCCCCCGUCCUGCCCUCCCACCGUGGCCAUCGAACUGCCGUGCGGGAUGGUCCUGGGCUCACGGGUCACGGUGGUGGCCCGGCCAAGGAAAAAGGAUGGGGCGGCAUCGGCGUCAUAGUUCAUGGUGGAGCUGCUGGGCACCAAGGCUGUGAAGGGGAAGGAGCGUCCCAGGAUACUGCACUUCAACCCCAGGAUCAGGGGCGAUUCAUCAAGCUCAACACCUGUGCGCAUGUAGUGGGCGAUGGGCGUCAUGGCCCGACGACAACAGGGUUGAAGGUGAGCUUAAGUGUGAGAAAUGGACUCGGGAUGAUGGCGCCAAGUCAGUGGAACAAUCAUCAAACGUAAAAUGUCUGCUCGACGGCUUGAUCGGCAGGCCGGAGAGGGACAAGGCGUAUGUUGCUGUUAAUCUGUUGAUUUGGGAUGUCCUGUUCUAGGGUAUGACCAACAAAGCAUAUCCUUUUUGCUUAUUCACCUGAGCAUUUUGUUUCUUUGUUAUUUUAUGUUUUGUUUACUCUAUGUUGAACAAUUAUCUAGAAGCUUCUGUUUGUAUGUUUUCAUCAGAUUUUCAGAGAAGAAACACGUGUACAUGUUUGUCAGAUUUUUUGGGGAAAGAAGCCUAUAGAGUACACAAUGAUUUGGGAUUUUGGAUGUUUCCCAUGGUCAUGCACGAAUUUAGUUAUUGAGCAACUAACCAUUCCAUCAUCUAAGCAUCUCAGCCACCCGGUUGCUUAUUUCAUUCAUGAGGCGACCAGUGUGGCUAAGGCGAAUGCAGGUAAAUCAAAAUUCUAUAUUGAACAUGUGGUACCUCCAUCGUAAAAGAAAGCUAGCCAGCGGGGCAUCAGACGGGCCUGCUCAGCUAGCUUUAGAUUUUGUUCUGCAUCAAGAUUACAGAUUUAUAAUUCUAGGUUAACCAAUUCCAAUGCAAGUGGCAUGUAUUUCUAUAUUUCUCUGUCCAUCGUAAGGAGUACAAACUGUAAAAAUUCCCACAUUAUCUCAAACAUCUUGGUGUAUGUCUAUGGUCUCUUUGUAUAGCUCUGAGGUUGAUCUGAUUUCCCUAUAGGCUCAAAAAAUAAAGUACUGUAAUAUGUCCUAAAUCAUAUUUAUAUCACUUUGUAAGAGCAGCUGACAGGGGUGCAUGCCUUGCUUGAAUGCACACAAAAUCAUGUUAAUAUAAUUUUUUGCCCUAAGCGAAAUGUUUGAUCUAUUUCUUACUGUGUACAAGCUUAUUCUAUAUUACUUUGAAGAAAAUAGAAACUUUUAUAAUCAUCAUCUUUUAUGUAGGGGUGAUCCAUUAUUAAAUCUACAAGUUCGUAGUAGAUAAUCAUAUCAUUGUGUUGUUUGAAGACUGACUUGCUCUUUUGACUGGCAAAAUGUUGAUACUGACUAGAGGGCAAAAAUUGAGUUGAUCGCUACUUCUUUACUUAAUUAAUUAGUCUUAUUCUGGGUGAAUUUUUAUUGUCAUCCUACACAAAUUAUGCAGGAGUAAGAGGGCAGAAAUUGAGUUGAUCACUACUUCUUUGCUUAAUUAAUUAGUCUUAUUCUUGGUGAAUUUUUAUUGUCAUCCUACACAAAUUAUGCAGGGGUAAGAGUACCAAUUGUUUUAUGGGAAUGUUGAGUGCAUACUUCUGCAGUACUAAAUAUUGUUUAUUACCCCAAAUUGCUUUGUCAGAGGUAUAAUUUAUUCUCGGAUACUCUGUUAUGUGGGGCCAAGCCGCAACAUAUCUUGAAAAUUCUAGCUCGACAUAUCUUUGUGUGACUCAUGUCCACAUGUGCUAAGUUGUUUUGAGUAUAAUCUUAAACAGGUGGAAGCGGAAUUAUUGUGUAUGUUGUCUAGGUGAUGGUUCUAGGCAUAAAGGCUGCUCGGCUUUGACUGAACUUGCUCAGAGGGGGUUCUGAUCCCGUUAACCAAGGUACAUAAUAUAAUAAAUAUUGUUCUGGCACCAACUUGCAUCGUGGGAACGAAGAUUAUUUGAUUAUAAUCAUAGACUAUGCAGGAUGAUUAUUUACGCUCCUAAAUUUUCUUCCUCUUUCAUAGUGGCAGGUAAACAACUCCAUUAGUUUGGAUGCUUUACCAGCUAGAAGGACUUCACGGAAUUUUGCCAACAUCACUAAUUUAAUUUAUUGGGUUAGGGCGUUUGGUAUUUUUUUUCUCCUGUUAUAACGCACGGGCUCUUUUGCUAGUUUAGUACAAAUAUGGAUCGAGGGAGUACAUCUUUUUUGAACGCAAAAAAUCAAAAUAAUUAGAAUUGAACACGACUACAAUAACUCAUGGAUUUAAGCUGACGUAGAUGUGUCCGGGAAGAAUACGGUCGGUCCAGUUCUACGUGAAAUAAGGAUUUGUCUAGACCGAACUACAUCAGGACGUGACCAUCAGCCACGAGAGGAGUCACAUUUUUUUCCAUCAGCCCCCAGAUGAUGAAGGUAACUUAUUAAAUCUUUUUUUUUUGAGGUUACCUAAUUAAAUAUAAAUUUUUUGAGGGUACCUAAUUAAAUCUUGACCAAGAGUAAUCUUUAGCAAAACUGUUUAUAUAUAUCAAAAAUAAAAACGUAGAUGUGACCGGGAAGAAUACGGCCGGUCCAGUGCUUCGAGGGAGACGAAAAGCACACGAUUUGUUACAGGAACAGGAGGGAGGAUUCCAGUCUGAUACGGCCCGAGAAGUUCGAUCGCUUAGCCGGUGCAGAAUAGGCAUAUAGGUACGUGGCACGAGGGUAUCGUUAUAACUACCAGAGCAAGAGGAUCGCUGUUCCAGAAAAAAAACAGAGAAGGAGAACCGACGACUUGACAACGAUGGCGGCAGCGCUUCGGAUUGCGGCGAAGAGGAUCUGCGGUGGCUUCUCUCGGCUGCCAAGGAGCUGACAUCGAGGACUAGCAAUGGCGGGAGCUCUCUUCGCCGGUUCGGCUCCUCCGAAUCACCAAGCCUGCUUAAUAAGAACAACAAGCAUGGAGCCAAAUCCGCCGCCAGCAUUGCAGAAUCCUCCACACAAGUGAAGCACCCUGCAUCAUCAUCACCACGUCCACCUAAAGAUGAGAAGCAGUUUCUGGCCACUGUAAUGAAAUUAACACUCGGCGCCGUUGUAUUUACGGUUGCAGGCCUCUACGUGGAGGCCAAGUAUAUAAUCAAUGGCCCUUUCCUUGGGAGGGAGCGGCCUGUGGAGGACACUGGUGAACGUUCAGAUGCUAUAUGCUUUAUCAAGUAAAAUUAGUGUCUUAGUAGUUUUAUGGACCUACUGUGGAUUUGUGGGAUAAUAUAAUAGUUGUGAUGAUGAUUGUUUUGUAUUCCCUCCGUCCCAUAAUGUAAGACGUUGUUUUUUACUCUAGUGUAGUGUUAAAAAGCGUCUUACAUUAUGGGACAGAGGGAGUAGUUUAGUUUAGUUGUCAAUGCUUUGCUACUGUAUUUGCUAUGUGUCCACGCUUAUAUAGUGCCACACACUGUGUUGGAAUUCCUC